rnacentral:rRNA from 1 species
UUUCCUUCGGGAUUGAUUAUUUUGUGACUGAGUGGCGGACGGGUGAGUAACGCGUGGGUAACCCUGCCUUGAAGAGGGGGACAACAGUUGGAAACGACUGCUAAUACCGCAUGAUGCAUAGGGGUCGCAUGAUUCUUAUGCCAAAGAUUUAUCGCUUCAAGAUGGUCUCGCGUCUGAUUAGGUAGUUGGUGGGGUAACGGCCUACCAAGCCAACGAUCAGUAGCCGGACUGAGAGGUUGAACGGCCACAUUGGGACUGAGAUACGGCCCAGACUCC